rnacentral:rRNA from 1 species
AAGGGCACCACAAGAACGCGUGGAGCAUGUGGCUUAAUUUGACUCAACGCGGGAAAUCUUACCGGGUCCGGACACACUGAGGAUUGACAGGCAGUUUUGAUAUUUCUUCACCUUUUUUUAGGUGAGUGAUAUCUCAUGAAAGAUGCUAGUCCUUUCAUGAUUAUGUGAUAGGUGGUGCAUGGCCGUUCUUAGUUCGUGGAGUGAUCUGUCUGCUUAAUUGCGUUUCACUAAGGGUUUAUUUUUAACUUUAAGUUAUAUAUUUUGACCCCUACUUUAAUUAGUAGUGUGUUUUGUCAACUUUAUAAUUUUAUAAUAAAACCCUGAAAGCAACGAACGUGACCG